rnacentral:lncRNA from 1 species
UGUCUUCGCAGAAAAAAAAAUUAGACUCGUUGCUGAGAUGAAGUUCACCGCUGCCAUCAUGCUCGUCGCACUCCUUACAGCGUUCCUGGUGAUGAUCACUGCAGCCGACGAGAGAAAUGACGAGGCGCGUACGGGAAGUGGUUAUGGCUCUGGAUGCCCAGACCCCAGUGCCUGCACCACAAGCUGCAAAGCCAAGGGUUUCCUCUUAGGCGUGUGCCUCCAACCUCUACUGCAAAUCUGUUUGUGUACAUAAAUUUAUUGAAGUCCACGACUGA